CCUACGGGGGGCUGCAGUGAGGAAUCUUGCGCAAUGGGGGAAACCCUGACGCAGCAACGCCGCGUGAGUGAGGAAGGCCUUCGGGUCGUAAAGCUCUGUCAGAUGGGAAGAAAUGGAUGGGGGCUAAUAUCGUCCAUCCUUGACGGUACCAUCAGAGGAAGCACCGGCUAACUCCGUGCCAGCAGCCGCGGUAAUACGGGGGGUGCAAGCGUUGUUCGGAAUCAUUGGGCGUAAAGCGCGCGCAGGCGGCUUGGUAAGUCAGAUGUGAAAUCCCUGGGCUUAACCCAGGAAGUGCAUUUGAUACUGCCUCGCUAGAGUACGGGAGAGGAAAGUGGAAUUCCUGGUGUAGAGGUGAAAUUCGUAGAUAUCAGGAGGAACACCGGUGGCGAAGGCGACUUUCUGGCCCGAUACUGACGCUCAGGCGCGAAAGCGUGGGGAGCAAACAGGCUUAGAUACCCCUGUAGUC
rnacentral:rRNA from 1 species